UGGCUCUGGCAUCGAUGAAGAACGCAGCGAAAUGCGAUAAGUAAUGCGAAUUGCAGAAUUCAGUGAAUCAUCGAAUCUUUGAACGCACAUUGCGCCUCCCAGUAUUCUGGGAGGCACGCCUGUCUGAGCGUCAUAUCAACCCUCGCACCCGGCCUCCUCGGAGGGCGGGGGCGGUGUUGGGGAUCGGCCGCCCCCUGGCGGGCAGCCGUCCCUCAAACUCAUCGGCGGCCACGGCGUAGCCUCCCCCGCGCAGUACGCAGUCUCGCGGGAAGGAGAGCGUUGUAGCCUGCCGCUAAACCCCCCACUAUACGUACAAGGUUGACCUCAGAUCAGGCGGGAUUACCCGCUGA
rnacentral:misc_RNA from 1 species